UACGAAGGGGGCUAGCGUUGCUCGGAAUCACUGGGCGUAAAGCGCACGUAGGCGGAUUGCUAAGUCGGGGGUGAAAUCCUGGAGCUCAACUCCAGAACUGCCUUCGAUACUGGCGAUCUUGAGUCAGGGAGAGGUGAGUGGAACUCCGAGUGUAGAGGUGAAAUUCGUAGAUAUUCGGAAGAACACCAGUGGCGAAGGCGGCUCACUGGCCCGGUACUGACGCUGAGGUGCGAAAGCGUGGGGAGCAAACAGG
rnacentral:rRNA from 1 species